rnacentral:rRNA from 15 species
GAGUGCGAUCAUACCAGCACUAAAGCAUCGGAUCCCAUCAGAACUCCGAAGUUAAGCGUGCUUGGGCGAGAGUAGUACUAGGAUGGGUGACCCCCUGGGAAGUCCUCGUGUUGCACUCC